GGGCGGCCGGGCGGGGAAAACUUACCCCAAUCCAAGAAAAGUGGGGAUGUUGGUGACGAAAGAGUACCAAGAUGACCUACCAAAAAGGUAGACCAGUUGGGAAUGGAAUAAAAUUUAAGCCAUUGAAUUGAGAAACAACGGGAGGGCAAGUCUGGUGCCAGCAGCCGCGGUAAUUCCAGCUCCAGGAGCGUAUCUCAAAGUUGCUGCGCUUAAAACGCUCGUAGUUGGAUCACGGACUGUGUUUAGAGAUGUGGUAGACUCGACUAUAUGCUCAUACGUGUUCAACCUAGUUGUUCAUAAUGGCUUGUCCCGUUCUUCAAUCAUAACUCUGGAUGCAGUAGUUGCACGUGAGAAUGGCCAUUGACCUUUAGUGUGUUGAGGGUCGUGUCUCACGGGGUGUGCCUUGAGUAAAUAAGAGUGCUCAAAGCAGGCAGUAUGCUUGAAUGUUUUAGCAUGGAACGAACAAUCUUGUUGUAUACGUGUUGGUUACGGUAUUAGCCUUGUGCGAAGUACUACAAUACGUGACGACUACCCACAAAUACGGAUGUUGGUUCCGUUUUGGGGUGAUGAUUAAGAGGAACGGUUGGGGGCAUUGGUAUUUGGCAGCGAGAGGUGAAAUUCUUGACCUGCCAAGGACUAACAAAUGCGAAGGCAUCUGUCCAGACCGUAUCCAUUAAUCAAGAACGAUAGUGAGAGGUUCGAAGACGAUCAGAUACCGUCCUAGUUCUCACCAUAAACUAUGCCGACCUGGGAUCAGUUUGGAGUAUUUUAUACUUCGCUCUAGGUUGGUCCCUCUAGGAAACUUGAAGUUUUUCGGUUGCGGGGGGAGUAUGGUCGCAAGGCUGAAACUUAAAGGAAUUGACGGAAGGGCACCACCAGGGGUGGAGCCUGCGGCUUAAUUUGACUCAACACGGGAAAACUUACCUGGUCCGGACAUUAAUGGGAUAAUCAGACUAACGAUCUUAUUUGAUUUAGUGAUUGGUGGUGCAUGGCCGUUCUUAGUUCGUGGAGUGAUCUGUCAGGCUAAUUCCGGUAACGGACGAGACCACAUUCUCCAUUUGAAGAGCUUAAGUAGGUGUCUGUAUCGUGGUGGGGUGUGCAAACAUCUCAUUCAUUGACAUAGAUAUCGCUGGCAAUGCGAUUGAGACAGUGGUGGAGGAGCAAUCCGAAACUAUUGGCGAGGUCGUGUUCCCUUAAGCCGGGUCAGAUUUGGUUCGCAGAAUCAAAGAUGAUAUCAUGGAGAGACAACGGAACAUUUUAAAAUCCGAGGAGGUGUGGCUAUAACAGGUCUGUGAUGCUA
rnacentral:rRNA from 1 species